rnacentral:rRNA from 1 species
AAUACGUCGUAAUACAUUUGGAUGGCAUCAUUUGAAUGUUAAAGUUGUGAAAUGGUUAAAGAUGGGCAUGCGUGCCAUUAGCUAGUUGGCGAGGUAACGGCUCACCAAGGCGAUGAUGGCUAGGGGUUCUAAAAGGAUGAUCCCCCACACUGGUACUGAGACACGGACCAGACUCCUACGGGAGGCAGCAGUGAGGAAUAUUGGUCAAUGGGUGCAAGCCUGAACCAGCCAUGCCGCGUGCAGGAUGACUGCCCUAAGGGUUGUAAACUGCUUUUGUACGGGAAGAAAUGCUUUAAAUAUUUAGAGUUUGACGGUACUGUAUGAAUAAGCAUCGGCUAACUCCGUGCCAGCAGCCGCGGUAAUACGGAGGAUGCGAGCGUUAUCCGGAUUUAUUAGGUUUAAAGGGUGCGUAGGCGGACUUAUAAGUCAGUGGUGAAAUACUAUAGCUUAACUAUAGAACUGCCGUUGAUACUGAAGGUCUUGAGUAUAGUCGAGGUAGGCGGAAUGUGUAAUGUAGCGGUGAAAUGCUUAGAUAUUACACAGAACACCGAUUGCGUAGGCAGCUUACUAGGCCUAUACUGACGCUGAUGCACGAAAGCGUGGGGAGCAAACAGGAUUAGAUACCCUGGUAGUCCACGCUGCAAACGAUGAUCACUCGCUGUUGGCGAUACAUAGUCAGUGGCUGAGCGAAAGCAUUAAGUGAUCCACCUGGGGAGUACGGCGGCAACGCUGAAACUCAAAGGAAUUGACGGGGGCCCGCACAAGCGGAGGAACAUGUGGUUUAAUUCGAUGAUACGCGAGGAACCUUACCUGGGCUUAAAUGUAGGGCGCAAACAUGGGAAACCGUGUUGCCCGCAAGGGCGACCUACAAGGUGCUGCAUGGCUGUCGUCAGCUCGUGCCGUGAGGUGUCGGGUUAAGUCCCAUAACGAGCGCAACCCUUAUCAUUAGUUGCCAGCGCGUAGCGGCGGGGACUCUAAUGAGACUGCCACCGUAAGGUGUGAGGAAGGUGGGGAUGACGUCAAGUCAGCACGGCCCUUACGUCCAGGGCUACACACGUGUUACAAUGGCCAGUACAGAGGGCAGCGACAUGGUGACAUGAAGCCAAUCUCCAAAUCUGGUCUUAGUUCGGAUUGAAGUCUGCAACUCGACUUCAUGAAGCUGGAUUCGCUAGUAAUCGCGCAUCAGCAAUGGCGCGGUGAAUACGUUCCCGUGCCUUGUACACACCGCCCGUCAAGCCAUGGGAGCCGGGGGUACCUAAAGUCCGAGACCGCAAGGAUCGGCCUAGGGUAAAACUGGUGACUGGGGCUAAGUCGAAACAAGGUA